CAAAAGCCAAGUCCAGUUGUGUGUCCCUGGUCUACAGAAACUUUAUUGAAGAAGUUAUUGUACUGAUAAAGGAGAAUAUUUGUGGCUCAGGGUUCAAAUGAGGGAUCCUUGGUGCUCUCUGAGCUUGGUUGCUUUCUUGCAGACAUUUGAUUAUCCAAACUAGGUAACAUCAUCAGUGCUCUCAUGUCACAAGUUGUUGUGCCCCCCACAGACUUGGUGCUGUGUUUAUUAAUGAUGUAUAUCUGGUUGCCAAGGGUUACAAGAGGCUUCUGGAUACUGAAAUUCCAAACAGGAGAAUGGGCCAAUGCACAAGUCACUCCAUGAAGAAAGGAGAGUUAGAAGAAUAUCAGGUGUUGACAUUUCUCACCAAAGGAGAAAUACUUCGCAUCCAUGAAAUGUUUUGUAGUUCAUGCCCUCAAGGAAAAGAUUACAGGAAAGAAAAACUCACAACAGAGCAAGUGUGUAGCUGGCCACAGCUGAAGAUGAAUCCAUUCAGGGACAGGAUCUGCAAGGUCUUCUCCACAGAUGGCUACUUUACAUUUGAGGACAUUCUUGGGAUGGCAUCUGUCUUCAGUUACCUAGCAUGUCCCACACUUAAGAUUGAGUAUGCUUUUCGGAUUUAUGAUUUCAACAAUGAUGGUUUUAUUGAUGAGGAAGAUCUCCAAAAUGUCAUCCGCAGAUUAAUAAAUAAGAAUAACCUCAGUGAGGAAGAAAUUGUGUCUCUGGCAAACCAUGUAGAUUUUGGAGGAAGCUGACUUGGAUAAUGACAGAAUGCUCUCUCUAGCAGAAUUUGAACGUGCUAUGAUAAAGUCUCCAGACUUCCUAAAAUUCAAUUAGCUGCAUUCUUCCAACUAACUCCAUCUGUGUAUAACUCACACAAGGUCAGACUAUGGGGAAUUGUUUCAUUAAAAAAAGUAAUAAACCUGCUAUAAAAUGCUAGCCUACAGCAUAAUCUUUUAUUUCCUAGAAUAGUACUGGGUUCCAUCAAUAUUCUUAUAAAAUAAAAAUGACAUGUGCUACAGCCUAGCCCUAGACCAUGUAUAUCCCUAAGCAAAAAAAAAAAAGCUAAAAUUUGUAGGAAAAUAUUUCUGGAAAAUAAGGCAUUGACAGGGAACAUCCUUGCCAUUACCUUCUAGUAAAUGGUACUUACCAGAUUAUCUUCUGGUAAAUGUUAUUUAUAUUCUGGUAACACCCACUAAGACACACAUUUAGGGACCAUACUACUAACUGGAUAUUUCUGAAUAAAACUAAGAAUACUGCAAUUAAAGCUCAUGCCUUAACACUUAAUUAUGUUCCUAAAUGUUAAUCUUAAAAGUAUAGUUGUUUAUCCUUUGCUUAUUCAAUAUGGUCUCAUCUUUAGAUUUAAUCUAGAGCUUCUUAUCCUUAGGGUACAAUUCAUAUUAACACAGAAUAUGAGUCCAUAAGGGACAUGUUAGUGUGCUUGGAUGUCUUUUCACUUACCUCAUAGCUGGUCGAUCGGAUUUCAUUUUUCCAACUGAAUAAUAGGAACUACCACAUUCUACCAGCAGAGGGCACCCAUGAAGUAUGAGAAAUUGAACAGUUUGAUUUAUGCUCACUCUCUAUUUCUUCAAGUUUAUCAAAAGAAAUACAACAUUGUAAAUAUGUAAAAUGGAGAACCACAUGAUUCUCACAAUUAUGCCUCUAUGCAAAAGCCUAGUCAAGUAGCUGUAGAAGAUUUAUACAAAUGAAUUCAAAAAACACUCUAGAAGAAAUAAUUGAAAAAGGAAAUUUCGAUUUGUUGUAAGAAAGCCAAUUUUGAUAACUGUGGGCAAACUCCCAGUUACAAAUAAUGUCAAGAAAAGUUAAACUGGGCAUAACUGGGCAUCAUCCAACAACUCAGGCAAAGUUUGGGGCAGACAUCUCAGUGUUAAAGCAAUGUGUUCUACUUACUCAACUGGCAUGAUAUCAGCU